UUGCUGGAGUGGUCUGAGCAUGCCCAGCAACAGCUGCAAACUGCAAGAAUUUGCUACUUAGGGUGCACCCGGCCUGCACACGAGCUGAGCAGACUCAGUAACAUCUGCUAAAGCCACUGCCCUUCACCCUCCCUUCACUUGGCAGGGGACACUUUUCCAUUCUGCCAAAGAAAGAAAGGUCGUCAUGCACACCAUGAAACAAGCCCUACAACUCUUCGAACAGUAUCAUGACAGUCCAUGGGGUGGACAUCAAGGAAUAGUCAAAACGACAAUGGCCCUGAGCACAAGAUACUAUUGGCCUGGGAUGACAAAAACCAUCGCCAAUUGGGUUUCAUGAUGUCUGCAUUGCCAGAAAGUGAGAAAGGAAUUAAAUCUGGAUACCACCUUGACAAGCAUAAAGAUGAAUUUUGGACUCUGAGACAUCUACUAAAUUUCUUCAGAAAUUUCUUUUACCUUCCUUCCAGUGUCAAAGCAUUAGGAAUGUUCUUUGUGUGGACUGCAUAUACAUGAUAUCAAGUCUAAUUCACUUCCUUUAAAAACUUAAGAAAUCUUAUAAAGAGAGAGUCAAAGAUAAUUGUUUAUCAUUAUCCAUUUUUAUCAUUGCUACAUAAUGCGGCCUUUAAUUCACAAUGAAUGCAAUGCAUGUGAGUGGCACAAUGGAGUGCAACAGUGAACUCUAUUGCUCCUUGCAGUGGCAUAUUUCUGCAGGUUUGUUAUUGUUUCAUUUUUUCAUACAAGUAUUCCUGUAUUACUUUUUGUUGACUUUAUUUCUUUUUGUUCUAUUUUUAAAAAUGGAAAUUAGAUUCUGAUAGUGUGUUGGUGGAAACCACAUCAGUGUUCAGUAUGCUUACUACUUAUGGGCUUAUUGAGAAUCUGAAAUAAGAGAAAUCCAAAGUAUGACUCCAAUCGGCUCUCUUGCAUACAGGUCAGUCGGCCCUUUGAAUUGGUGGGAAUGGAUUUAAUAGGGACAUUACCAGCUAUAAAUAAGGGAUACUGACAACCGCAGACCAUCUUACAAGAUGGAUUGAAGUAUUUACACUUCUAAAUAAGUCAGCAUCUGUGGUGGCAAAUGAAAUGUACAAAAUUAUAAUGCGAUUUGGAUGUCCACAGCAUAUACUGACAUAUCGUGUGUCAGAAUUCAAUAAGGAGGUAAAUACUUAUUUCGAAGGUUGUUUUUGACUUUGUCUUCAACCACACUUUCAGGUCACAGAUGGUUGGCAGUGAACAUGGGCUUCAUUGCCCUCGUUAGUUGUUCAUUAUGGGCAUUUUUGCUGACAAGUUUCUAUGAACUCCCACUCAACUUUGGCAAAUAGCACUGCUGGUCGCCCUAUCACGGUUGCUAUAACUUUUUAUUCUUUGGUCUCUUUUUACCCACCAUACCUGUCCAAAGGAAAUGUUAUGGCAUAACUUAUUUUCUUUCAGUGUAACCUGGAGAGUUGCAAAAAAUUGGGAAUACAAUGUAGCUUCACCAGCCCAUACCAUCACAAACCAAUGGAUUGGCUGAAAAUACAAACAAAUCCAUCAAAAGGUAAUUUUAGGGCUGGGAAAAUUACAGUAUUAAUAGUAAGGAGAAAGCACUAUCCCAAAAGCUGCAAAUUGCUUCAAAAUCUUCAAAGUUAUUUUAGUCCACUUUUCUUUCAUUUCAAGAAAAAGUAAUCUUAUUAAUGCACUAGGAUGGCCUUCUCCUUAUGCCUUUUGGAUUCCAUAGAAUUUGUCUCAGUAAAGACAAGCCAUUUCAUCUCCGAUGAGAUAUUACCCCAGGAGCUUGCUGGAAUCUACACUGCCUUUGAUCAGAACCUUUUUCAGUCAAGGCAACAGGACAAGUGCAUUGCUGUCUGUGCCUCCCUGCUGAAUUGAUGAACUGUAAUGGUCAGAGAUCGCACCAGCAUAGAAGUAUAUUGAAGGCGAACCCUAAGGAAAUAAGGGUUUAAAUUAGCCUCACAUGUCCCAUGUCCCACUACAAUGAAUCCAACCCACCGGUCACUUAGGCAGAAGUAUCAAUGUCAGGAUGCUACAUUGUUAGCACAGUAAAUGAAGCUGCAAAAUAAAUGAUGUUUAAAUGACCUCACUCUAUUUUUUACAAUCCUCUAUCAAGAGGUUAAGAGCUAAAGACUUUAUGCUUCCAUCCCGUGAGAUGUCCCCAUCUCAAUGACUAGACAAGGCAGCUCUUCCCUUUCAGACAUAACAUACUGAGGUGCUACAGGAGACUUGAUGCAGUGAAAUAUUUUUUAUAUACACUCCCAAAAAGAGGAGGCCAUACAGAGGCCUGCCUGUCCUCAAGGACUCCCCUACCACUCUCCUGUGUGGCAGAGUCCUCGUAACCCCGACAAGACUUGAAGCUUCACCCCCAUCCUCCUGGUGGCCACUUAGGAUAGGAGCUAGGACGUCCCCACUCCAGGGUGCUCUCUUCACACUAGCUCCUUCCCUGACCCACUUAUCACUGCAUUAAGUUCAAACCAAAUACAAUUUAUUAAACAGAAAUGGUAAGGAAAAAAAUGGAAAAGGUCAAAGAAACAAGGGACCUCACCCUAUAGGGAACACCACAAACAGCCGUCUCUGCAACUUAAGGAAAGGUCACAGUCUGUUCCUCACACAUCCCAGGCCUCCCUCCCAGGCCCUGGCUGUGCUGAGGUGUUACCAUGGGUCAGACACCUGCUGUGGUGGUGGCCACACCCGCUCAGGCUCUAGAUGCCAGGAUCCUUCUCCCCAGUAUUGGCCCUCCUGUCAGGUUCAUGUCCCCCCUCCAACUCCAGCCUUCAAAGCCCUCUCAAAGACAUCUCCUUGCACUGGGCCCUCUGCCCAGGCCCCCCACUCGCUCUCCCCAGCCACUCACUGUGCUUGGCUGCAGUGUUACUUGUGGCAUGGCUGGCAUCCGCGAUCCCAGCUCUGGGCCCACAGCUCCCUCUGUAGCUUAGCCCUCGCUCCCCGUCAGCGCAGCUGGUCCGUGCUGCUCCAGCUCCCCAGCCCUGACCCCUCUGGCUCUCGCUGCUGCUGCAGUUCUCCCCUUAGCUCUGACCAGCUGUCAUAACUAUAAAGGGAAGGGCAACAGCCCUCCUGUGUACAGUACUAUAAAAU